UACGUAGGGUGCAAGCGUUAAUCGGAAUUACUGGGCGUAAAGCGUGCGCAGGCGGUUGUGCAAGACCGAUGUGAAAUCCCCGGGCUCAACCUGGGAAUGGCAUUUGGGACUGCAAGGCUGGAGUGCGGCAGAGGAGACUGGAAUUCCCGGUGUAGCAGUGAAAUGCGUAGAUAUCGGGAGGAAUACCGAUGGCGAAGGCAGGUCUCUGGGCUGACACUGACGCUCAUGCACGAAAGCGUGGGGAGCAAACAGG
rnacentral:rRNA from 1 species